CCUACGGGAGGCAGCAGUGGGGAAUAUUGCACAAUGGGGGGAACCCUGAUGCAGCAACGCCGCGUGGGUGAAGAAGUACUUCGGUAUGUAAAGCCCUGUCAGCAGGGAAGAGAAUGACGGUACCUGACCAAGAAGCCCCGGCUAACUACGUGCCAGCAGCCGCGGUAAUACGUAGGGGGCAAGCGUUAUCCGGAUUUACUGGGUGUAAAGGGAGCGUAGACGGCAAGGCAAGUCUGGAGUGAAAGCCCGUGGCUCAACCACGGGACUGCUUUGGAAACGGUGUUGCUGGAGUGCAGGAGGGGUAAGCGGAAUUCCUAGUGUAGCGGUGAAAUGCGUAGAUAUUAGGAGGAACACCGGUGGCGAAGGCGGCUUACUGGACUGUAACUGACGUUGAGGCUCGAAGGCGUGGGGAGCAAACAGGAUUAGAUACCCCGGUAGUC
rnacentral:rRNA from 1 species